rnacentral:rRNA from 1 species
AUACGUAGGGGGCGAGCGUUGUCCGGAAUGAUUGGGCGUAAAGGGCGCGUAGGCGGCCUGUUAAGUCUGGAGUGAAAGUCCUGUUUUCAAGAUGGGAAUUGCUUUGGAUACUGAUGGGCUUGAGUGCAGGAGAGGUUAUCGGAAUUCCCGGUGUAGCGGUGAAAUGCGUAGAGAUCGGGAGGAACACCAGUGGCGAAGGCGGGUAACUGGACUGCAACUGACGCUGAGGCGCGAAAGUGUGGGGAGCAAACAGGAUUAGAUACCCUGGUAGUCCACACUGUAAACGAUGAAUGCUAGGUGUAGGGGGUAUCGACCCCUUCUGUACCGCAGUCAACACAAUAAGCAUUCCGCCUGGGGAGUACGGCCGCAAGGUUGAAACUCAAAGGAAUUGACGGGG